AGGCCAUGCCCCUCAACCCUUCCUCUACACUGAACCAGUGAACUAUCAAGCUCCCCGCAAAUUCUUCAGUGGCUCCCAGCACCUGGCAGACCUUUUCCGCCCAACACCCACCUGGGAGGGAGGGCGAGACCCGAGGUCAGACGUCCCUGGAGCAGGUGAGCACUGCGAGGGAACUGAGAUGCAAGAUCCUCCUGCCUGAACUCACACCCCGCGUGCUGCUCCCCCAACUCGCCUCUUGGAUCUCAGACCAGAAGCUUCCUUUCCUCAAAAUCCUUCUAUGUUCUCCAACGUCUUUGGGACAGAGCUCCUUGGCAGGGUUUACAAAGCUUAGGUGGCCCUACCCACUUCUCCAGCCUCAUCUGCUGCCUCACCCCUAUACCACAGCUCUGCACCUUUGCUGAAACUGGUACUCGGCGCUUGGGGUGUCCUCAUCUUUCCCCUACCUAUGGCAGCCUGCCCGAAGAGUGCCUGCUCCUUCAGGCUCCGCUCUCGGCUUAGCCCCUUCUUGGAACGUCCCCGCACCUCACCCCAGCCCCUUGCCAGGGGCAGACCCUGGCAGCCUUCCCUCGUCCUCAGCAGCCAUUACGUGUUGCUGUCAUAAAGUUAU
rnacentral:lncRNA from 1 species